CCAGCCACGCCCCCACUAUUGCAAAGGUUAUGAGGAGCCCACUCCCAAAAUGGCUGGAGGAGGUGUAGAGAUCUGAAGGUUGUCUAGCGCUGCAGGAGUAGAGGAGAUGUGUUUGUUGAGUGGGAGCAUCCUCCGUCACCACCACUCUCCAGUAUCCAUGGAGAUGACACUAUCCUCUUUGAGCUCCUGAGAACUAAACAACAUUCAACAGUUGACGACAAUCGACGAUGCAAUUACGUUAGAAUCCAGCCAUGCAUGACAUGUGCACAGACUGUGGGGGGUCUGGUAUCAAGGUGACCCACCUCCCAUUCGGCCCCGGCAUGAUGCAGCAGAUACAGAGCGUGUGCACAGACUGUGGGGGGUCUGGUGAUUACAUAAGAGACAAGGACAAGUGCAAGAAAUGCAAAGGAAAGCGUCUCGUGGAAAUCAACCACAAACAAGAGGUAUGAGAAUAAUUAGAGCACUGCUGUUAGUGAGUCUAUGCCAGCCACAAUCACUUAGAGACACUUUCCAGUGGAAUAAUUAAUAUAUGGGCUAUAUAUAAUUCAUGGUCAUUAAUUGUUGAAAUUUUGUCCAAGUGCCAAGUCUGAACUUUUUGAACGGCCAUAAUUAGUUCUGGUGACCCAACUUCAGUGACUUUGUGGUAUCAAGAAAGCUUAAAAGAUGCUCUAGCUUUCAGUUGGUACGUUCAACCAUUUUGACCCAUUUUCGACCAAUACCAUGAUUAAACCAAAGAUGUUACUACUCACGUGAUGUUAGCCUAUAAUUAUAAUAUUAUGUUUGCUACGUGUUACAUUAUUAUUUAACCUUUGAACUCGUAUGAACUAUGUCUUGUCUCUUCAAAACACUGCUGGUGACGACCAUAUAGUGACAAGGUAAGUACAACUACUCACAAUCUACUCUCUAGACUGCAAGCACUGUAGAAUGGCAGCUCUUAUGUUAUCAUCACCUAAUCUGAAUUGUUGCGAUCAUAUUCAAUUAAACGUGAAGUGGGUUGUAGUUGAACAUCUUUUAACAGCCAUAACUUUCCUACCGUUGAUCCAAUGUCAAAAAUUGUAGAAAAAGACUUCCAAAAGAUGUGUUUCAAUACAAAAUUUAUAAUUUUCGGCUUUAGACCAUCCAUGGUGUGGCCAAAUCUCAGCCUUACAAGCUGAGGGGAUGUGUGUUAGGGUUAGGUACCUUAGGACUUUUGAUUUGGCAGCCUUGAAUUCCACUGUUAAUAAUAAUUAUAAUUAUUAUAUAAUAAUUAUUAUAUACCGUACAGCGCGAUAUUUUGAGGGGCUAAUACUUAAUAGUCAUUAAUUUGACUAAACAGCGAAAUUUAUUCCUUGCGCUAUACAGUACAUGUUUGUGUAGCCUUGCAUGUGGUUAUGUGCAAUACUAACAGUGGUUGUGUUGUGUGGGCAGUAUUGUACGUAGGUACAUGUAUUAGUUAUUGCCCAGCCAGAGUGCAACGGCAAUAACUAACUUGUUGUCCAAUGACGUUAAACUCGUCUGACUGGUCAUAUAAAUCGUAAUAAAAGACAUGUGUUUUGAAGGAAUUUAGUGUAUGCAUUAGUUUUGCUGAAUUCCAUAGUAAGUUUUUUACGUUUUCUUCCCACUAGUAGUUGUAAAGGUAGUAGCCUAUAAAAGGGACCAACUGAGUAUUGGGUGGGAUGGUGGGUAUAAGUCCCAAAUGGAUAUCUCUUAAAGAAAUCUACUGCAUUUACACACAGUGCCAGUGCAUAAUGCAAGUGCAAUAUAUGGUAGCCAUGGCAGUGAUGCAACAUGCCAUAUACUGAGCACUGGAUUGCUUUGAUCUGCCACUCACUGGGCAACAAGUACAGUUGCUAAAAAGCUACUAAAACUCUGCCAAUCUAAUUACAACAUACUGAAAGUAGUAUCAAUUGAGUUUACAAUGUGUGUGUACAUGUACAGUAGCUAUGUGUGUGUGUCCAGGGUCUGGAGGGUGAGGGGAUGCCAGUGUUUAUGUCAAGGGCAACCUCUAUGUUCAGUUCACCAUCCAAUUCCCUGACUCUGGUUUCCUGGAGGAGAGUCAACUAAAGGUGUUGGAGUGUCUCCUGCCUACACGACCUGACCCACCAGCACUGGACCCAGAGGCAGAGGAAGUGGAUAUGAUAGAGAGUGAGGGGACGAGGGGAGUGGGUGGGGUACAAGGGGGUGGAGCCAUAUACGAUGAAGAUG